UCCGUAGGUGAACCUGCAGAGGGAUCAUUGCUGGAACGCGCCCCAGGCGCACCCAGAAACCCUUUGUGAACUUAUACCUUACUGUUGCCUCGGCGCAUGCCGGCCCCCCUGGGGGCCCCUCCCUCUGGAGGAGCAGGCACGCCGGCGGCCAACCUAACUCUUGUUUUUACACUGAAACUCUGAGCACAAAACAUAAAUGAAUCAAAACUUUCAACAACGGAUCUCUUGGUUCUGGCAUCGAUGAAGAACGCAGCGAAAUGCGAUAAGUAAUGUGAAUUGCAGAAUUCAGUGAAUCAUCGAAUCUUUGAACGCACAUUGCGCCCUCUGGUAUUCCGGAGGGCAUGCCUGUUCGAGCGUCAUUUCAACCCUCAAGCCUGGCUUGGUGAUGGGGCACUGCUUUUACCCAAAGGCAGGCCCUGAAAUUCAGUGGCGAGCUCGCCAGGACCCCGAGCGCAGUAGUUAAACCCUCGCUCUGGAAGGCCCUGGCGGUGCCCUGCCGUUAAACCCCCAACUUCUGAAAAUUUGACCUCGGAUCAGGUAGGAAUACCCGCUGAACUUAAGCAUAUCAAUAAGCGGAGGA
rnacentral:rRNA from 1 species